AUUGAACGCUGGCGACAUGCCUUACACAUGCAAGUCGAACGGCAGCACGGGUGCUUGCACCUGUUGGCGAGUGGCGAACGGGUGAGUAAUACAUCGGAACAUGUCCUGUAGUGGGGGAUAGCCCGGCGAAAGCCGGAUUAAUACCGCAUACGAUCUACGGAUGAAAGCGGGGGGCCUUCGGGCCUCGCGCUAUAGGGUUGGCCGAUGGCUGAUUAGCUAGUUGGUGGGGUAAAGGCCUACCAAGGCGACGAUCAGUAGCUGGUCUGAGAGGACGACCAGCCACACUGGGACUGAGACACGGCCCAGACUCCUACGGGAGGCAGCAGUGGGGAAUUUUGGACAAUGGGCGAAAGCCUGAUCCAGCAAUGCCGCGUGUGUGAAGAAGGCCUUCGGGUUGUAAAGCACUUUUGUCCGGAAAGAAAUCCUUGGCCCUAAUACGGUCGGGGGAUGACGGUACCGGAAGAAUAAGCACCGGCUAACUACGUG
rnacentral:rRNA from 1 species